UACAGAGGGGGCAAGCGUUGUUCGGAAUUACUGGGCGUAAAGGGCGCGUAGGCGGCCGCCUAAGUCAGACGUGAAAUCCCUCGGCUCAACCGGGGAACUGCGUCUGAUACUGGGUGGCUUGAAUCCGGGAGAGGGAUGCGGAAUUCCAGGUGUAGCGGUGAAAUGCGUAGAUAUCUGGAGGAAUACCGGUGGCGAAGGCGGCAUCCUGGACCGGCAUUGACGCUGAUGAGCGAAAGCUAGGGGAGCAAACAGG
rnacentral:rRNA from 1 species